rnacentral:rRNA from 1 species
GUAGGGGGCGAGCGUUGUCCGGAAUCACUGGGCGUAAAGGGCGCGUAGGCGGUAAUAUAAGUCAGAUGUGAAAGGGGGGGGCUCAACCCCUAGAGUGCAACUGAUACUGUAUAACUUGAGUGUGAGAGAGGGAAGCGGAAUUCCUAGUGUAGCGGUGAAAUGCGUAGAUAUUAGGAGGAACACCAGUGGCGAAGGCGGCUUUCUGGCUCAUAACUGACGCUGAGGCGCGAAAGCGUGGGGAGCAAA